rnacentral:rRNA from 1 species
UAUGGUAUGUGCCAGCCGCCGCGGUAAUACGGAAGGUCCGGGCGUUAUCCGGAUUUAUUGGGUUUAAAGGGAGCGUAGGCCGGAGAUUAAGCGUGUUGUGAAAUGUAGACGCUCAACGUCUGCACUGCAGCGCGAACUGGUUUCCUUGAGUACGCACAAAGUGGGCGGAAUUCGUGGUGUAGCGGUGAAAUGCUUAGAUAUCACGAAGAACUCCGAUUGCGAAGGCAGCUCACUGGAGCGCAACUGACGCUGAAGCUCGAAAGUGCGGGUAUCGAACAGG